GGUCAGGAUGAACGCUAGCGACAGGCCUAACACAUGCAAGUCGAGGGGCAGCACAAGGAGCAAUCUGAGGUCGGCGACCGGCGCACGGGUGAGUAACACGUAUGCAACCUGCCUGGUAAGCGGGGAAUAACCCGUGAAAGACGGACUAAUACCGCAUAAUACUAAAUUACUGCAGGGGUGUAAUUUAUUUAAACAGUUUAUGGCUUACAGAUGGGCAUGCGCAUGAUUAGCUAGUUGGAGAGGUAACGGCUCCCCAAGGCAACGAUCAUUAGGGGUUCUGAGAGGAAGGUCCCCCACACUGGUACUGAGACACGGACCAGACUCCUACGGGAGGCAGCAGUGAGGAAUAUUGGUCAAUGGACGAGAGUCUGAACCAGCCAAGUCGCGUGCAGGAAGAAUGUUCCCUAUGGAUUGUAAACUGCUUUUGCAGGGGAAUAAAGUGCAUCACGUGUGAUGUUUUGUAUGUACUCUGCGAAUAAGGAUCGGCUAACUCCGUGCCAGCAGCCGC
rnacentral:rRNA from 1 species